UACGAGAGGCCCAAACGUUAUUCGGAAUUACUGGGCUUAAAGAGUCCGUAGGCGGCGCGGAAAGUGGGGUGUGAAAGCCCUCGGCUCAACCGAGGAAUUGCGCUCCAAACUACCGUGCUUGAGGAACCUAGAGGUGAGCAGAACUGAUGGUGGAGCGGUGAAAUGCGUUGAUAUCAUCAGGAAUACCGGAGGCGAAGGCGGCUCACUGGGGGUUUCUGACGCUGAGGGACGAAAGCCAGGGUAGCGAACGGG
rnacentral:rRNA from 1 species